rnacentral:rRNA from 1 species
UACGUAGGGGGCUAGCGUUGUCCGGAAUCAUUGGGCGUAAAGCGCGUGUAGGCGGUCCGGUAAGUCCGCUGUGAAAGUCGGGGGCUCAACCCUCGAAUGCCGGUGGAUACUGCCGGGCUAGAGGGUGGUAGAGGCGAGUGGAAUUCCCGGUGUAGCGGUGAAAUGCGCAGAUAUCGGGAGGAACACCAGUAGCGAAGGCGGCUCGCUGGGCCAUUCCUGACGCUGAGACGCGAAAGCUAGGGGAGCGAACAGG